GCCAGAUUGGCGUAGUGGUUUGAGCAAUGGACUACAAUUCUGGAGACCAGGGUUUGAAUCCUGGAUCAGCCA